UACGAAGGGGGCUAGCGUUGCUCGGAAUCACUGGGCGUAAAGCGCACGUAGGCGGAUUGUUAAGUCGGUGGUGAAAUCCUGGAGCUCAACUCCAGAACUGUCUUCGAUACUGGGAGUCUCGAGUCCGGGAGAGGUGAGUGGAACUGCGAGUGUAGAGGUGAAAUUCGUAGAUAUUCGCAAGAACACCAGUGGCGAAGGCGGCUCACUGGCCCGGUACUGACGCUGAGGUGCGAAAGCGUGGGGAGCAAACAGG
rnacentral:rRNA from 1 species